rnacentral:lncRNA from 1 species
AUGGAGCACCUCUUCAACCUGAGCCUGAGGCUGGGACGAGUCCCACAGCUCUGGAAAACCUGUGUUGUACCAGUGCCAAAGACUUCACGCCCCAAGGACCUCAACAGCUACAGGCCGGUGGCUCUGACAUCCCACCUGAUGAAGACCCUGGAGCGGUUGGUCCUGGCUCAGCUUCGGCACCUGGUGAGCUCAUCACUGGACCCACUUCAGUUUGCCUACCAACCUGGCAUUGGAGCGGAUGAUGCCGUCAUUCACCUCCUACAUCGUUCCCUCGCUCACCUGGAGACCGAGAUCAUGUUCUUUGAUUUCUCCAGUACCUUCAACACCAUUCUUCCCUCAGUUCUGAAGGACAAGCUGGAGAACUCUGGAGUGGACCAUCACCUCACUACCUGGAUUCUGGACUACCUCACCGACCAACCACAGUAUGUGAGGACUCAGGGCUGUGUGUCGGACAGGGUCGUCUGCAGUAUGGGGGCCCCACAGGGAACGGUUCUGGCUCCGUUCCUCUUCACCAUCUACACUGCAGACUUCUCCCACAACUCCACCCAGUGCUUCCUGCAGAAGUUCUCUGAUGACUCUGCAAUAGUCGGCCUCAUCACUGAUGGGGACGACAAGGAGUACAGAGGACUGACUCAGGACUUUGUGGACUGGUGCCAGCUGAACUACCUCCAGAUCAAUGCCAGUAAAACCAAGGAGCUGGUGGUAGACUUCCGCAGGCACAAACAUCCUCCACUGCAACCACUGAACAUCCAAGGUAUGGACAUUGAGGCUGUGGACAGCUACAGGUACCUUGGUGUUCAUCUGAACAGCAAACUGGACUGGACUCAUAAUUCAGACGCCCUCUACAGGAAAGGGCAGAGCAGACUGUACCUGCUGCGGAGACUCAGGUCGUUUGGAGUAGAGGGCCCACUCCUGAAGACCUUCUAUGACUCUGUGGUGGCCUCAGCCAUCUUUUAUGGUGUGGUCUGCUGGGGCGGCAAUAUCUCUGCCGGGGACAGGAAGAGACUGAACAGGCUGAUCUGCAGGGCCAGCUCUGUUCUAGGAUGCCCUCUGACCCAGUGGAGGUGA